GAUCCUAUCGUCUAGUGGUUAGGACGCGACCCUCUCAAGGUCGCAACACGGGUUCAAAUCCCGUUAGGAUCGCCA
rnacentral:tRNA from 1 species